UACAGAGGGUGCGAGCGUUGUUCGGAAUUAUUGGGCGUAAAGCGCUGGUAGGUGGCUUGUUAAGUCGCGUGUGAAAGCUCCAGGCUCAACCUGGAAAGUGCGCGCGAAACUGGCGAGCUUGAGUGCCGGAGAGGGUCGCGGAAUUCCCAGUGUAGAGGUGAAAUUCGUAGAUAUUCGCAAGAACACCAGUGGCGAAGGCGGCUCACUGGCCCGGUACUGACGCUGAGGUGCGAAAGCGUGGGGAGCAAACAGG
rnacentral:rRNA from 1 species